GAAUUUUCCGCGCGGAUCGGAAUUUCUCUUUGUCUUUUAUAAUUAUAAUUAGUUUCACCCGAGAAAUCGCAAGACAAAGAAAAAUUCCUCUCCGCGCGGAAAAUUUCACCUAGU